GACGUAGGGCGCAAGCGUUGUCCGGAAUUAUUGGGCGUAAAGAGCUCGUAGGCGGCUUGUUGCGUCGACUGUGAAAAACCACGACUCAACCGUGGGACUGCAGUCGAUACGGGCAGGCUAGAGUUCGGUAGGGGAGACUGGAAUUCCUGGUGUAGCGGUGAAAUGCGCAGAUAUCAGGAGGAACACCGGUGGCAAAGGCGGGUCUCUGGGCCGAUACUGACGCUGAGGAGCGAAAGCGUGGGGAGCGAACAGG
rnacentral:rRNA from 1 species